rnacentral:rRNA from 1 species
UACGGGAGGCAGCAGUGGGGAAUAUUGGACAAUGGGGGAAACCCUGAUCCAGCAAUGCCGCGUGAGUGAAGAAGGCCCUAGGGUUGUAAAACUCUUUCACUGAUGAAGAUGAUGACGGUAAUCAGAGAAGAAGCCCCGGCUAACUCCGUGCCAGCAGCCGCGGUAAUACGGAGGGGGCUAGCGUUGUUCGGAUUUACUGGGCGUAAAGCGCACGUAGGCGGCGUAUCAAGUCAGAGGUGAAAGGCCUGGGCUCAACCUAGGAACGGCCUUUGAUACUGGUAUGCUUGAGUUCGGAAGAGGGUAGUGGAAUUCCAAGUGUAGAGGUGAAAUUCGUAGAUAUUCGGUGGAACACCAGUGGCGAAGGCGGCUAACUGGACUGGUACUGACGCUGAGGUGCGAAAGUGUGGGGAGCAAACAGGAUUAGAUACCCUGGUAG